GACGAACGCUGGCGGCGUGCCUAAUACAUGCCAGUAGAACGCUGAAGGAGGAGCUUGCUUCUCUGGAUGAGUUGCGAACGGGUGAGUAACGCGUAGGUAACCUGCCUGGUAGCGGGGGAUAACUAUUGGAAACGAUAGCUAAUACCGCAUAAGAGUAGAUGUCGCAUGACAUUUGCUUAAAAGGUGCAAUUGCAUCACUACCAGAUGGACCUGCGUUGUAUUAGCUAGUUGGUGAGGUAACGGCUCACCAAGGCAACGAUACAUAGCCGACCUGAGAGGGUGAUCGGCCACACUGGGACUGAGACACGGCCCAGACUCCUACGGGAGGCAGCAGUAGGGAAUCUUCGGCAAUGGACGGAAGUCUGACCGAGCAACGCCGCGUGAGUGAAGAAGGUUUUCGGAUCGUAAAGCUCUGUUGUAAGAGAAGAACGAGUGUGAGAGUGGAAAGUUCACACUGUGACGGUAUCUUACCAGAAAGGGACGGCUAACUACGUG
rnacentral:rRNA from 1 species